rnacentral:rRNA from 1 species
GAUGAACGCUGGCGGCGUGCCUAAUACAUGCAAGUCGAGCGAACAGACGAGGAGCUUGCUCCUUUGACGUUAGCGGCGGACGGGUGAGUAACACGUGGGUAACCUACCUAUAAGACUGGGAUAACUUCGGGAAACCGGAGCUAAUACCGGAUAAUAUUUCGAACCGCAUGGUUCGAUAGUGAAAGAUGGCUCUGCCAUCACUUAUAGAUGGACCUGCGCCGUAUUAGCUAGUUGGUAAGGUAACGGCUUACCAAGGCAACGAUACGUAGCCGACCUGAGAGGGUGAUCGGCCACACUGGAACUGAGACACGGUCCAGACUCCUACGGGAGGCAGCAGUAGGGAAUCUUCCGCAAUGGGCGAAAGCCUGACGGAGCAACGCCGCGUGAGUGAUGAAGGUCUUCGGAUCGUAAAACUCUGUUAUUAGGGAAGAACAAACGUGUAAGUAACUGUGCACGUCUUGACGGUACCUAAUCAGAAAGCCACGGCUAACUACGUG